rnacentral:rRNA from 1 species
GGGGAAUUUUCCGCAAUGGGCGCAAGCCUGACGGAGCAACGCCGCGUGAGGGAUGGAGGCCUUUGGGCUGUAAACCUCUUUUCUCAAGGAAGAAGAUCUGACGGUACUUGAGGAAUAAGCCACGGCUAAUUCCGUGCCAGCAGCCGCGGUAAUACGGGAGUGGCAAGCGUUAUCCGGAAUUAUUGGGCGUAAAGCGUCCGCAGGCGGCCGUUUAAGUCUGUUGUUAAAUCGUGGAGCUCAACUCCAUCACGGCAAUGGAAACUGUUCGGCUUGAGUAUGGUAGGGGCAGAGGGAAUUUCCGGUGUAGCGGUGAAAUGCGUAGAUAUCGGGAAGAACACCAGUGGCAAAAGCGCUCUGCUGGGCCAUUACUGACGCUCAUGGACGAAAGCCAGGGGAGCGAAAGGGAUUAGAUACCCCAGUAGUCCUGGCCGUAAACGAUGAACACUAGAUGUUGGGGGAAUCGACCCCCUCGGUGUCGUAGCUAACGCGUUAAGUGUUCCGCCUGGGGAGUACGCACGCAAGUGUGAAACUCAAAGGAAUUGACGGGGGCCCGCACAAGCGGUGGAGUAUGUGGUUUAAUUUCGAUGCAACGCGAAGAACCUUACCAAGGCUUGACAUCCUGCGAAUCUCCAAGAAAUUGGAUAGUGCUUUCGGGAAGCAGAGUACAGGUGGUGCAUGGCUGUCGUCAGUUCGUGUCUGCGAUGUUGGUUAAGUAGAGCAAAGUCGGCAACGCACGGUGUUAUAACCUAAGAGGGGGUUGGGAAGGAUAGAAAGACGGAUGGAGAGGAGGAGGAGGAAGGUGGGGAGGACGUCAAGUCAUCAUGCUCCUUAGGGCUUGGGCUACACACGAAAUACAAUGUUACGGACAAAGAGCAGCGAGGUCGCAAGAGUAAGCAAAUCUCCGAAACUGUAGGUCAGUUGAGAGGCAGGCCGCAACUCGCCUAGGGAAGCAGGAAUGGAAAGUAAUCGCAGGUCAGCAUACUGCGGUGAAUACGUCCCCGGGCCUUGUACACACCGCCCGU